rnacentral:rRNA from 1 species
GGAAUAUUGCACAAUGGGCGAAAGCCUGAUGCAGCAACGCCGCGUGAGUGAUGAAGGCCUUCGGGUUGUAAAGCUCUGUCUUUUGGGACGAUAAUGACGGUACCAAAGGAGGAAGCCACGGCUAACUACGUGCCAGUAGCCGCGGUAAUACGUAGGUGGCAAGCGUUGUCCGGAUUUACUGGGCGUAAAGGAUGCGUAGGUGGAUAUUUAAGUGGGAUGUGAAAUACCCGGGCUUAACCUGGGUGCUGCAUUCCAAACUGGAUAUCUAGAGUGCAGGAGAGGUAAGUGGAAUUCCUAGUGUAGCGGUGAAAUGCGUAGAGAUUAGGAAGAACACCAGUGGCGAAGGCGACUUACUGGACUGUAACUGACACUGAGGCAUGAAAGCGUGGGGAGCAAACA